GUGCUUGCUUCGGCAGCACAUACACUGAAAUUGGAAUGAUACGGAGAAGAUUAUCACGGCCCCUGAGCAAGGAUGGCACACAAAUUUGUGAAACAUUGUGUAUUAAA